rnacentral:rRNA from 1 species
UGGCAACGUCCUACUCUCACAGGGACAAGGUCCCAACUACCAUCGGCGCUAGAGAGCUUAACUUCCGUGUUCGGUAUGGGAACGGGUGUGACCUCUCUGCCAUCAUUACCA